GACGAACGCUGGCGGCGUGCUUAACACAUGCAAAUCGAACGAAGUGGCGAACGGGUGAGUAACGCGUAAUUAACCUGCCCUUCAGAGGGGGACAACAGUUGGAAACGACUGCUAAUACCGCAUACUGAAGGAGGGGAUUGCGCCUGAUUAGCUAGUUGGAGGGGUAACGGCCCACGAAGGCGAUGAUCAGUAGCCGGGCUGAGAGGCUGAAAGGCCAGAUUGGGGCUGAGACACGGCCCAGACUCCUACGGGAGGCAGCAGUGGGGAAUCUGCCGCAAUGGGCGAAAGUCUGACGGAGCAAAGCCGCGUGAGUGAUGACGGCCGUCGGGUUGUAAAGCUAUGUUAAUCGGGACGCGGUACCGGAAUAGAAAGCCACGGCUAACUACGUGCCAGCAGCCGCGGUAAUUC
rnacentral:rRNA from 1 species